rnacentral:lncRNA from 1 species
CCUCUAGAAGUACACAGUCUAAUGAUGAGAUAGUCAGGAGCCUGACAUCAUGGUGAGCAUCGAGAAAGGAAUAACCUAAGCUGAAGACAUGCCUUUUCUAUAGGAGGCAAAGUUCCACGUUCUGUGAAUGCCUUUGGCGAAAGUCAGGCUGUGGCUUGCCUUUUCACUUCUUGUGUCCUGUUUAAGAAAUAUCUGCUAUCCCAAGCAUCUGGCAUCUUUCUUGACAUACGUAGCAGUUGCUUUUUGACAGCUUGCUUCUGGAGUGAAUGAAUAAAUUAAUAAAUUUAUUCAUUUGAUAUUCAGUGACAUGUGAUAUUCAGUGAUCCAUUUUGCAGAUUGCAAACUCCUAGAGAAGGGCUCAACAGUGAGUGUUGAGGCUGCACAGAGGAGGAAGGUAGCACAAUGAUGGAAGGCUUCCUAAAGAGAUAACACUAACAAAGUUGACCUUAGAAUUGGAGUGCCCGGGUUAGAACCUUGCUGGUACCACCUGCUUACUGCAUGCUUCUGAUGUGAGUUCAGGAGAAGCCACUGGCAAGGACAGCAAAGAACAGGAGAACACUCUAGCUUCCCUGAUAGCAUUCAAGGUGCUGUCCAAACUGACUGUGAUGGCACCCUCCAGACAGACAGCGAUGCCACAUGUUCAAGAUGGCAGAAUCACUAACAGCUUCAAUUCCUGAAUGACUGCAGAGCAAAAUUUCUUACCCGCAACAUACACUCUAUUUUCAGCCUCCCUGGACUGUUACAUAAUGAUACAUAAAAAUAUUUCUUGUGUUGAGGCAUCCCAAAUUUGAUCUAUUUGUCAUCACAGUUUAUCCUACGAAUAUAUUUCUGAUCCAAA